rnacentral:rRNA from 1 species
UUCUUCGGAGAGUUUGAUCCUGGCUCAGGAUGAACGCUGGCGGCGUGCCUAAUACAUGCAAGUCGAGCGAACUGAUUAGAAGCUUGCUUCUAUGACGUUAGCGGCGGACGGGUGAGUAACACGUGGGCAACCUGCCUGUAAGACUGGGAUAACUCCGGGAAACCGGAGCUAAUACCGGAUAACAUUUUCUCUUGCAUAAGAGAAAAUUG